GUGUGUGACAGGUUAGUACAGUGGUGAACCUAUAGGACCUUCAGCGUGUGACUGGUUAGUACAGUGAUGAACCUAUAGUACCUUCAGCAUGUGACAGGUUAGUACAGUGGUGAACCUAUAGGUCUUCAGUGUGUGACAGGUUAGUACAGUGGUGAACCUAUAGGUCUUCAGUGUGUAACAGGUUAGUACAGUGGUGAACCUAUAGGCCUUCAGUGUGUGACAGGUUAGUACAGUGGUGAACCUAUAGGUCUUCAGUGUGUGACAGGUUAGUACAGUGGUGAACCUAUAGGACUUCAGUGUGACAGGUUAGUACAGUGGUGAACCUAUAGGUCUUCAGUGUGUGACAGGUUAGUACAGUGGUGAACCUAUAGGACCUUCAGCGUGUGACUGGUUAGUACAGUGAUGAACCUAUAGUACCUUCAGCAUGUGACAGGUUAGUACAGUGGUGAACCUAUAGGCCUUCAGUGUGUGACAGGUUAGUACAGUGGUGAACCUAUAGGCCUUCAGUGUGUGACAGGUUAGUACAGUGGUGAACCUAUAGGUCUUCAGUGGUGAACCUAUAGGUCUUCAGUGUGUGACAGGUUAGUACAGUGGUGAACCUAUAGGACUUCAGUGUGUGACAGGUUAGUACAGUGGUGAACCUAUAGGACUUCAGUGUGUGACAGGUUAGUACAGUGGUGAACCUAUAGGACUUCAGUGUGUGACAGGUUAGUACAGUGGUGAACCUAUAGGUCUUCAGUAUGUAACAGGUUAGUACAGUGGUGAACCUAUAGGCCUUCAGUGGUGAACCUAUAGGUCUUCAGUGUGUGACAGGUUAGUACAGUGGUGAACCUAUAGGUCUUCAGUAUGUAACAGGUUAGUACAGUGGUGAAUCUAUAGGCCUUCAGUGUGUGACAGGUUAGUAUAGUGGUGAACCUAUAGGCCUUCAGUGUGUGACAGGUUAGUACAGUGGUGAACCUAUAGGUCUUCAGUGUGUAACAGGUUAGUACAGUGGUGAACCUAUAGGUCUUCAGUGUGGGACAGGUUAGUACAGUGGUGAACCUAUAGGUCUUCAGUGGUAAACCUAUAGGCUUUCGGUGUGUGACAUGUUUGUGAUUCUGAAAGGACAGCAACCAUAAUACCAGCACACUCAUGUAUGAGAGUGCACUUUUUGUCAAACAAAAUGUAGCAAGCUAAAAAACCUGAGCCUAACGUUAGCUAGAUAGCUACACUAACUGACUGACUGACUUUUCCCCCUCAUCAUUUUUCGGUGGCUAUACACAGCUAGAGAUGCAGGUAUCAUUUGGUUAGCUAGCAAGAACUUGAACAACCGUGAUCGAAAAUUCAUUCUGGCAAAUGGCUCGUUUGUUUAAAGGCCUACUGUGGCUCUGAUUGGCUAUAGCGCACCGGCCUGUAUGACAGAUGUUUUUAUUCUGUUUAAUUUAUGGUUUUAUUUACUGCAGUGUCUUAAUUGUCUAAACACACGGCUGCUUUCCCACUCUAUAUUGCUAUGGAAUUUUCACAAAUGCCUUAGUAUACGUAAUUCCCAAACAUUCUAAGAAUUUAUGAAAAUGUGAAAAUGACCAUAGUGGUUGCUUGUCAGAUUUUUUGGGGGGUGUGUAUAUGAACACAUUUUUAAUAAGAUUUCAUGUUCCUAAAACGCUAUCAGUUCCACACUCACAUUUUUCUGGUCUUGACUCUGUCUCGGACCCCUUGUCCCCCUCCCGGUCUUGACUCAGUCCUCAACAUAGGGCAGCUAACAAACAAUCACAAGGUCAGGUGCUUGGGCACUAGCUAAGCACAGGCUAACUCUGGCUCUAAGAUAGUCACACGGAAGCACCAUACGUAUUACAGCUGAUCUCAGGAACUUACUGUAGCCUAGCUGCUGUUUGCUAAUGAUCCUAGUCAUCUUGUGUGUGAAAAGAUAUGUUUGAAGUUUCCCUGUUUUAUCAUACUGAUACAAUUAUGAUAAAGUAAAAUAUUCAUUCACUCAUAAAACAGGAUUGCCAUUUAGGAUUUACAAUCAUGAUGUUAACCUCUGUAUAACAAAGUUACACUUCUGGAGCCCACAACUCACUGUGAUGUAGUCUAACCCCUAAUACAUGUUUUUGUUGUUUUGACAGUUGUAUUGUAUGUUUGUAAAAUAAUAAUCUCACCUAUAUUAUAAUGAUAUUCAGUUGGCCUUUUUUUUUGGAAAGGAAAUGUUUGAGUGAGAAUUAAAGAGAAUGAAUAUGAAAUAAAUGGAGCAAAUAUUGGCUCUGUCCUCAGGAGAAUAUAGAAAAGCUUAGAACCAAGCACACAGAGCAUUUGCUUUACUUGAAACUGGUUACAUUGAAUUCCACAAAACCUCUUUGUUCAAGGCAGCCUUCUAAAAAGGCUGCACUUAUUUAUUUUAAGUUUGUCAUUUAACAUGUUUUUCAUUCAGAACCCAAAUUCAGUUCAUUGGUAACUAAUAUGACAUACUCUUAAACUACAUAGCUUCUUGUCCUCUGUACUUGAUCUCCCUUUGAACAAAACAUUCCUUCCUUUGCACAAAUUACUUAUUGAAAUAUAACUUUUUCACUCUGAACAGCUUUUUAAUGGUGCACAUGUUAUACCACUGCUUUGAAUGUGUCAUCUUUGGCCAAAUAUUGACAAUUUACCCAGCCUUCAACGAGUCCUUGUUUAAUAAUAUGUAUUUCUAGUAACAUUUGAUGUAUUUUACAAGUGUAGUCAAGUAAAUUAAUAAAAAUGUUUUGCCUGGA